rnacentral:rRNA from 1 species
CGAGCGGACAGAUGGGAGCUUGCUCCCUGAUGUUAGCGGCGGACGGGUGAGUAACACGUGGGCAACCUGCCUGUAAGACUGGGAUAACUCCGGGAAACCGGGGCUAAUACCGGAUGCUUGUUUGAACUGCAUGGUUCAGACAUAAAAGGUGGCUUCGGCUACCACUUACAGAUGGACCCGCGGCGCAUUAGCUAGUUGGUGAGGUAACGGCUCACCAAGGCGACGAUGCGUAGCCGACCUGAGAGGGUG